GAACUCGGAUCCUUGGGUUUUCGAGGCAGGCGGUGGAACCACUGAGCUAAAUCCCCGGCCCAUGCCUUAUAUUCUGAAAAGGGGACAGAUGGCAAAGAGAUCACAGGCGACACAGUGAAGCCAGGGCUAUUCUCAAGCUGGAUCAACAGCUGGGCCUAGGUGAGGACAGUGGUGGCUGAGACAGCCAGUCCCAUUCUUCACCAAGCAGGACGCUCUGGGGACAUGUGGAUGUGGUACUCAAGAACAGUUCUAGGCCCAGGCUGCCAGAGUAGGUGGGGGCAGGUUGGGUUCCGAGGUGCCACGGGGAAGAAGAAACAAUGUGGCUGGAGGUUGAGUGAGGGACAAGGAACCUCCUCUUAUUCCCUCUGGUGUCAAGAAUUUCAAUUUUUAGUCUAGCCAGAAAUUGCCGACUUUGGCCAAUCCAUUACCCUACCUGGGCCCUUCCUUCGUCCUUUAUAAUCAAUGCAGUUGACUAAAAGCCUGAUGAGGCUGAUUCAGGCGCUAAUGUUCUGCAUUCACAAGCAUCUCCAUGGAUAUCACAGCCAAUCAGUGCAGCAUUUCCCAAUGCCCUGAUACUCUGCAGGGGCGGUAGAGCAUUGUGGUUUAACACUGUGGAGUCUGCUGUCAGCCGGCUGGCAGAAAUCCAUCCUGGCUCCAUCAUUCACGAGCCCUGCAGCCUUGGAUGCGCUCCCUAACCUUUCUUCACCUUGUUUUCCUCCUCUGCAACCUCACGGUGACCACAACAGCACCCGCAUCAUGGGGUUUACGUGAGAAUGAGAUGAGUAAAGACGUGCAAAGCGGCAAGCACAGUGCCUGGGCCGGGCAGGUGCUCAACAGUGGUGGCUGCUGUGAUCAUCAGCCUCCAGGCUGCGGAUCCCAGCACCUCCCACCAGGUGCGAAUCGCUUGGGUCUGCAGGUUCUGGCACAUUCAGCACCUGGCACGUUCUGCUCCUGGGGCCCAGGUGGGGCCUCACAAGACAGCUGUUGAACAGACGUUCCUUGCAGACAGUGGGCCAUGAGCAGUGCCCUGGUUUCUACCUUGAGGUCUUCCUCCCCGCCCUUCCAGCCCGAUCCUCAGGAAAGAUAGAAACCAGAGGUGCUCCCCCAUGUCCACCGUUCCCAAUCAACUGAGACUCACACUCUCCUUCCUUGAGUAUUGUGCCAAGCAGGUGCAUGUGUGCUGCUUUCUAAGGGGCUCCAUGUCCUUCCAAACUGCAAACCACCCUGGGCCCUCAUGAAGGCGGAGAGAUCUUCUUGGGCAGGGGUGAGCAGGCUGGUGCUGCCACACCAACUCCCAGAAGCACGGGUGGUGUAUGGAUUCUCCGCUUCACCUGACUCACCAGCUGGCCCUCCUCGUCCACAUCUAUGGAAUCACGGUGCUAAGUCACUUGCGCAUAGUGUGGUGUUCAGCGGGACACCGGUACUGUAAAUGCUGUUGGGGUGGGGAGAGGAGCAGGAUAAAAAAAAAAAAUCUUUGAGAAACAUAGUUGCUAUGUCUCCUUGCUGAUGAGCAAGCUCAUCCUUGUAUUACAGGCCCUGAGAGGUCCUGCAGCUUUGAAGCAAAAUUGCUCAAGAGUUCCACCAACCAACAGAGCCCAUCCACUGGCUUCCUAUGGAGUUGGAUGGCAGCCCCCUAUCCUUCCUAAUUCCAACAGACUGCUUCUUCCCAGGAAAAGGCCAAUAGAUAAUCCAGACUCAGCCAUCCGAAGAAGUGACUCAGUGUCCUCAUUUCUUGAUCUGAGGGAGAAAGAAGAGAAGAGGAAACCGGAAACAUGUGCCUGGCCUUGCACGGUCAGAGAAUGAACCCACAGUCCCUGGCCCUGGGCAGCUGGGACAGAAGAGUCGGGGGGGGGUUCCAAGGAAGAUUCAGGAAGCUUCGUGUGCACUGCUGGCCAUAAAUAAACAAGCCAGAGCCAGCCUGCAAAGCAGGGCGUAUUGUGUCAUGUGAAGAGGCUGCCAGACAUCUGGAUGUCUCUGCUACCCCCAUCCCUCCUGUUGCCAUAAAUUUAAGUUAAUCCUAUGGGGCCCAGAAUCAUAAGAAUAAUCUUCACAUCUGUGUGGGCUUUUCAGCCUUUGAAAGCUCAUUCAUGGAAUUAUCUCAUUAGUUCCACUCAGUGCCUGUGGGAGGGACUCAGGGAUGAUCAUCACCACUUGGCAGAUAAGAUGCUGAGACCCAGGGAAGGAAAGUGACUUUCUCAAGGUCACACAGCAAGGCAGCAGCAAAUUGCAGUAGUGAUACAGGUCUUCUGAUGCCCAGCCCAAGACAUCCCAUGAGGACAGGACUGUCUUACAAAAGAUGCUCUGAGAUUCAGACAUCUCCCCCUUGCCAUGGUCCCCAACCAACCUGGCCCAGAAAAGUCCUGAGUCUACCCCACUGCCACUGUGUGGAGAUGGAAAGUAGGCAGAGGCUUGAGGGACAACUGUGGGCUGCACAGGCAGCUGCUCAGGUUCAGAUCGCAGCUCUAGCUUCCAACUCAUCAGACUCCAGACACGUGACCCAGCCUUCUGCACAGGGCCCUCACCCUUGACCCUACAGAGAGUAUCACUUGCAUUAUCUACUCAUCACUCCUUCUCAUAAUGACUCCGUGUCCUUGGGGAACUGCUCCUCCCCCAACUCCUGCCAUGUGACUGUGUGUGAAGCUUCCCACCACCACAGCCGCAGAGGUGGGGACCCAAGACAGGUCUGGAGCCCUUUCCUUUCUGGGGGUAAAGAUGAGAAGAUGUGAUUUUAGCUUUGUAAAGAAAGGUGGCUGAGAGACGGGGAGACAGUCCUGGAGGUGCCAGAAGCUCCAGACACACUCAGCCCCACGAAGGCUUCCCUUCCCCUGGGUCAUCCCAGGAGCUUACAAAUGCCCUGGAGGCCCCUUGAUCCAUCCCCUACCACCCAGGCCUCCUGAAUGUUUAGGAGAUGAGAAUUGUCACCCCUGGUGCUUACCUGGAGGACCCCACCACCCCAAAUGCCAGGAAAAUGGGCAGUGCUGCAGCGAGACAGCCAGACAAACAUGCAACCAACAGAGACCUACGUCUCCUGGGCUUUCACCAACUCCCACACGUUCAGAGCUCAGAGAAGGUGAAAGUCCGUAGUCCAACCUCUCAUCUGAACACUGGGGUGAAAGAGUCUCCUUUCUGUACUUGAAUGGCAAAUGCUAAGGGCACUUGUCUACUUAGGAACAGUCCCAGGAAGCAGAGGCCCAGUGGCCCAGACUCCUGGAUCUUUGGGAUGCCUGCUCCUACCCUGACUCUCGCACUUCAGGAAUGAGAGGGGGAAGACAAUGCUAGUGAGGAUGCUGGGUGAUGGAGUAGACCUGGAUUCUGUGUCUUUUUUAAGAGGGUGGGAUGUAAAGAUCAGGCCAGAUCCUAUAAUAUGUAGGUAAGAAGGUGGGCAAGGUAGAUAAGGUAGGUAAGAAGGAUCAAAGUCUACUCUCCAAAACCAAGAGAUUGCUGUUAUUAUGAAAUUAUGGACUUGAGACUCCCUUGACACAGAGCCUGACCUUCCCCUGGAAAGUAAUGCAAAGUUCAGGGGUUGGAGAGGUGCUUAGAGAGCAGAGUCAGGAAAACCUCAAAGCGUAUCUAGCCCAGACAGCCAGCAACUCAGUUUUCAGCCUCCUCGGCCUCUGCCUCAGCCCUUCAGCUCCCUGAACUUGAGGAGUUGGGUGACUGACCAAUGGCCCCAGUUUGUCUGGGGCUGAGAGGUGCCAGGGGGAUGAGACUGGCACCCCACAUGCUGCCCACACUGCUUGGCGUUGCUAGUGUGUGGAGAGACAACUGGGGCCAGGCUCAGGCCAUAGCGUGCAGCAUUCACAGCCCUCCUCCCAGGCUGAUCCCCAUCCAGGCUGCCUGGGACUGAGGGUUUCCCGAACCAGCAGGUGUCUGGCAAGACUCACCAGCACCCAUGUCUAGGCCAUGCUCUCUUCCACACCUGUCUCAUCUCGGACCCUGAACCACUGUUCUCUCUCUUACCCCAGGACCCAGUGUAAGCAGAGCUUGGUUCAAAUACAGCCCCACCCUGGGCCUCUGUCCAAGGUUCUGAAACAUGUUUUGGAGGGCCAGGCAAAGGUUAUUUCUCCCAACCUUAGGACCCUUGUUGGUUCAUACAGAUAUUCUUUCAAUAAAUAUCAUCAUAUGGUAGCUUCAUCUAUACACUAAACCAUCUGCAGACUUGGUGGCUUAAAACAGAAACAUGUGUUAUAUCUUAUAGUUCUCCAUGUUGCCAAGCCCAUGUUGUCUAGGGCUGGAUGAUCUAGCAUGUUCACUCAUUACACAUGGUGGCUCAAAGGCUGUUGUUUGGUACCUCAGUUGCCUCCUCCAGUGUGUUAGCUCAGCUUGAUUUGUAUGCAAGGACACACAGCCCCAAGCUGACAGGAGGUGAACUCCAAUCAUCAAGUUCUUUUCACAAGUCUGUGUCACAUUUUCUAAUGUUCCAUUGCAAGUCACACGGAUAAGCCUAAAAUCAAUGUAGGAGGGACCUGGAGACAGAGAGAGGGAUGAUUGGAGCCAUUUUUUGAAGACACUUCUCCAAUUAUCCUGCAUCCCCAAUGCACUGUAAAGCAGCAAAUAAUAGGAUGGCCUUCCGUUGAACCCAUAGAGAAAUGACUUCACCCCUAGAACUGUUUCAAGCUGAGAAUCCAUUUGGCCUCUGCCAAAAUCACUUUCAUAAUUAUAUCAGGAAUGAUCAAAAGUCUUUUGGAACCCUCCCUCCUACAUUCUGAGCCACACAUCUUGCUGAAUCAGAGAACUAUUUUUCCUCACUUCUAAAUGAACAAAAUCCUUCUGAGUUGCAGAGCUUCUCGACAGUCUUCAGCAAUAAUUUUUUGAGUUAUGCAUGGCUGGGCAAUAAAUCUUCAGUCACCUUCUUGGAUGACUACGGAAGAGCUCUAAAGGAGAAUUUCCAGGUCCCCGGCUCCCCAGGAAGGAUGAGAUCUUAGAAAGCACCUGCUAAGGGCCAAGCCUUGCACAUCUUUCCAUCUGAUGCUCACAACAUCUCCAUUACAUACAGAAAGGAGCUGAGAUGGAGGAUCUGGGCCAAAGUCAUGGACACAGCAAGCUGGAUGCAAGAAUUCAAACACAGGCGUCCCCAGCACAGUCAAAAUUCUUUCCUCCAUACUCCUUCACUGCGGUGCUGAAGGGACUGGAGACCCAAGCUUGACUCCAGCUCUGCUGCAGCUCUUGUGCUACCUAAAGGUGCUCCCGUGUCCUCCUUGAGCCUCUGCUGUCUCAGGUGUGCUGUGCACAUCGGAUACCUGUGCCUACUUAUCCAGGCUCGCUGGGGUAUCUGCAAAUACACCACUGUCUUGCACAGUGGACAUGAAGCUUGGCUGGCUUCUUCAGACAGUGAAUUGGACAGCAUCUUUCCAAAUGUUAAAGGGUGCCAGGGAUUUAGCUCAGUGGUGCCACCACCUGCCUGGCAAGCACAAGGUCCCGAGUUCAAUCCCCAGUACAAAAAAAAAAAGAAAAAAUUAAAAUGCACGUUCUUUGUUCUGGCAGUUCCAUUUCUGGGAACUCACGUCAAAGGAGUAUGUCCAUGUGUGAGUAAGAUGUGCAAAGAUGUUUAUUUCUGCAUUGAUUACAAUAGCAAAAAUAAAUUUAAAAUACUAUAAAUGUCCCAGUAAAUCAUGAGUCCUCAUGCUACAAAAUAGAACUUAAUGCUUGAGAUCUAAGUGAGCACCUGGCAAGGUCGCAGAGUCCACACACACACACCGCUGUCACAAUAGGGAAACCCUGUGGAAACUGACUGGGCCUUUGCCAGACUCACCACAGUGACAGCAGCGAAAGGGACGCGUGGCCUGGGCUGGUUCCUCUCCUGCCCUGACCUCCAGGAAGCAAAGCACAGCUUCCUGCAUGCCCCAGAGCUGUUCCUAUGGCCACGCACCAGACGCAGAAAACAGCAUGUACGCUCACAACCCCCAGAGAUGCAGAGCCACAUGUGUGGGGACAGGAACCCCCUGGGGCCUGGAGCCAAUAAAGGACAGUCGAAUCCUGAGUCAGCCCCUCCGGAUUUAUGGCUUUUUAUCCUCAAUCUGUAAGCAGCAGAGAGAUUGCCUCAAAGUGUAGCAGGAAGGCCAGGAAUUGCUGGGCGAUUGGUCCUUGUGACCUCUUAGCAGCUGGGAAGAAAUCAAGACCCUGUGACCACGCCUCUGAUAUCAACUUCACGUUCAACUAGAGCCAGUUUCUCUCACCUGAAAGUGGGCUCACAGGUGCUCCAUCCAAGCUGCCAGAGCCACCACACAUGGCAGCCUUCACAACCCCUUGCAGAGCCACCCUCUCCACCUCGCCUGGGCUCCAGUGAUGCUUCCUCUGUCCUGGGUCUACCUUGUGCCCAGCCCCACUCCCCUGCUCCACCAGUCCCCCCACACCACCUGCGACUUGAGCUUGUGACCCCCUGGGAGAAUCUGCAAUGACCGCUUGGGACACAGUGAGUCAGCGGGUGGUGCGCCAUUCUGACUGUGAGCGUGGCAGGUGACCAGACCCAGGGAAGCCCCAGACACUCCAGCAGGUCAGAGCGCACUGUCCCAGUGCAGGCAAGGCCAGUGCCGUUCAUGAACAAGGCUGGAGUGACCUUCUGCAUCCAGCUUUUUGGACUAAAGUGGUAGGGGGCGGUGCUGUGAGGAGAGUUAGUUUCUAAUCCCCUAGGCUGUGAAGAAACAUCAAGAGCAUUCAGUGCCUGAAGUAAAUAUAAAGUAAAAGAAUAUUUGAAUGAAAAAAAAACAAGAAACCUCUGAAACCUCUGCAUUUUCUUCUCUGGAGUCUUUGCUUUUGUUGUUGAAGGUAGGUCUUUGCGCUGCACCUUACUGCUAGCACGGUCCAGUGGUCUUGUUGCCGUGUUUCCGUGAAAGUGCCGGCCCUGUCCCGAGGAUGUGACACUGGACGACCCUUGCUACCCUAAGCACCACAUUCCCCAGAGGUUGCUAGAAACACAGACUCUCACGCUCCACCCUGGACCUGCUGAGGGAGAAUUUGCAUUCAGCAAAGUCCCCAGGUGUUUCCGGGGCACAUGUGAGGUGAGGUUGCAGCCUGAGCUCCUAGACAAGGGGAGCGUAAGUGGGGUUCAUUCACGCCACACGGGCAGGGAGACAGGAACUGAUUCAAGGGACAGAAGCGUAGGCUUUUCCUGGUGUAACAGUUUGUAACCUUGAUGUCCUCUGAUGGCAAAUGAUAUGGCAUUUGUACAAAUGAUAAGAAAGCCUACAUCGGUACUCUUUGAAAAGUGAGUCCGUUUAAAGCAGUAAUUCCCGGACCGAGGAUGUAGCUCAGUAGUGCCGCCACCUGCCACACAAGCACAGGUCCCAAGUUCGAUCCCCGGUACCAAAAAAUAAAUAAAAAUUUAAAAAAACGAAACAGUAUUUCCUGACUAACGUCUGGGUGCCUGGCUCUGCAGAUGCCAAGGAGAAAUGAAAGUGAUCCCAGAAGCGCUGCUGCAGGGAGAAUGCUGCAGAGAGAGGCAGGGGCUCGACCAAGGCCACACUGGGGGACAACAGAGUCCAGGUCAGCAGUGGUCCUUCCUCCCCGCAGCCUGGCUGCAAACUGAGCGGAAGCAUCCUCCAGAGCAGCCGCAGAAGCAGGAACAGAGAUGUCCAUCGGUGACACCAGGCAGGUGCAAGGCACACAUAGCUGCGAGGGCAAAGAAGCUGGUGCUGCCAGCAGCGUCACUUUGAAAAGAGCUCUCUCCCCUGCACCUGCGAGCCGGGGGACACCCAGCUGCUCCCUCUGCAGAAAGAGCUCCUCAGUGAGAAGCCAGUGCUUCCCAGCUGUGGCGGGAUGAGGCUUUCCUGAGCAGGCAGUCUGAAGUUAAAAAGAAAUUGUGAUUUCUCUUCCCAACCAGGCCCACUGAGCCUCAGCUCACAUCUUUAGGAUAGGACACAGCUUUAUGAAAACAAGCAAAUAUACCCUUUAAGGUAUUUUUAGGGUUUCCCUUAAAUUGUUAUCAGCCAUGUUUAAACUACCUGUAGUUUAGAAUUUCAUAGCUGUCUUGAUUUCCACUUUUUCUCUACCACCAAUAGUGUAGUUCACGUGCUCUCGGUCCCCACUCCCUUCCUAUCGACUGCCUUGUCCCCAGCUCCUGCACCUGCCAUUCCAGGAUGUCAACUGCCUGGCUGUCCCGCCUUCAGCCCACAGCUCCUCUUCACACCGUGUUCCAACCACAGUGGUCAGGAGCCCAUCCCGACCCGGCCACGCCCCCUAGCAUUUUACAAAGUCUGCACUGUCUGCCCAGAAUUCCCUCUCCAUCAACACCCAGGGUAAAUUCCUCCUUCUGCAGGAAGGGCCAUCCCCAAAGCCCUGCUUAGAUCUCCCAUAGCCCAACUGGCUGCCUUGUUAUGGGGCUCAGAACAGGCCCUACACGUAGCCUCCAGGGCUGGGAAGAGCCCUGAGCUUGACUCAUAGAAAUCCUCCAGGAUUAAAGAUCUCUGAUGCAGUCAAGCCCUGAUCUGCCAGGGAUAUAAGUCAGGGUUGAUCCAGGCAAGUUCUUAUUUACUCAUCUCUAAAACGGGAAGAAAUUAAUCCCUCAUUCGUGGGGAAGACCCAAAAAUAAAUGAAGGCAGUGUUAAAACACGCUCCACUGCUAUGUGGCACCUACUAAGUGGUAAUGUAUCGUAGCUUUUAUUAGGGUUACAAAUAACAAAAGCACAGGUUAUUGAGGUUGAAAGGUAGAAGCCAGAAGUUUAGAGCAGGAUGGCCCUUAGAAAUGUUGGUGGCCUAGCUGCACCUGGGGACCUCUGCCUUGCUGUCCUCCUUGAAUUCUGGCCCCCAGAGGCCGGCUGCUUUGGCUGCUCACUGAAGCCCACCCUCAUCUUUCACCGCACAUCUUCAGUGAAGGCACCUAGGGGCUCUGUGAGGUUAUCUGGGUACGAAAUAAGGAUCCUAUCCCAGUCUCAUUUAGAGGAAGAAGCCCAGGCCCCAGAGGAGGAGUGGCUUAGCUGAAAGGAGGCCCCGUAGCCCCAGUUUCUGCUCUUAAACCUGGGUUCACUCAGUUCCCUCUCUUUCCAAAGGACAGUGCUUUUCAUCACCUGAGUAGUCUUCAAUCAAUGUAUCUAUGAAAGAGAAGCAAAACUUUUGAGUCUCUGUUUCUUAAAGAGAAGGAGAGGCUUCAGGGUGAGUAAGGAUGCUUUCCAAGGAUCCGUCCCUGGGGACAGAAAGCACUGCAGGUAGCCGUUUCCUUCCUUUCCAAAGUCGCCAUACAGGUCACAGCCUGCCCAGGACAAAAUGGCAGGUGACCCCUGUGGGAAUGGGGAGUCCCUGGGGCAGCUAAGAAGUCCUGAGGACUCAGUACAGAGACAGAGAAUACCAAGGGAUGGGUUGGAGCCAGCCUCCUGGGGACACCAGGGAGGAGACAGGAUAGAGCAGGACACAGCCACCAGAACGCAGAGGAGUCAGGACUUCUCAAGGGCUCAGGACUCACUGGUCCACGGAUGUCACCUCCUCCAAACCUGCAGCACCUGCUCCUGGGAGGAGGCCCCUCUCACUGUCUCCUCUUCCCUGAGGGGAUUGUGACAACUGACAUCUGACUUCACUUCUGGUAUCUCAGCCUCGCUUGGGAAAAACAAAUAUUUGAUCUAAAAAGAAUAAAACCCGCAUGUGGGCUUGCAGAAGGAUGUAGGCUUUCGAUACUAGGGGUGUCCACCCCAGCCCAGCCUGAUGCCCACACCUGGGGUCACUCCUCCAGGUCACAGCACGAAGUACCCCAGGGAAAGAUCAAGAUAGCGAGGCGUACUGUUGUAGUUCCCUACAAGGAGGGGAGAUGCUAAGACGAGUGAGUCAGGCCUGGGUCCAGGUGGAAAGAGCAUGGUAUUGCUUACAGGCCAUGAUCCAGGCAAAAGCUAAUUUAAAAAAAACUUGAUUUUAGGGGCAAUCUAUUCUAGUGUCAGGGAGGGUUUCUUUAGAGAAUUCCUGGCUUUAGUUAGUUUAGUAGACUUGCUGCUUUCAUGGUCCCAAAUACACACACACACACACACACACACACACACACACACACACACACAC